CCUACGGGUGACAGCAGUGGGGAAUAUUGCACAAUGGGCGAAAGCCUGAUGCAGCCAAGCCGCGUGAGCGAUGAAGGCCCUCGGGUCGUUAAGCUCUGUCCUCAAGGGAGAUAUUGACGGUACUUGAGGAGGAAGCACCGGCUAACUACGUGACAGCAGCCGCGGUAAUACGUAGGGGGCUAGCGUUAUCCGGAAUUACUGGGCGUAAAGGGUGCGUAGGUGGUUUCUUAAGUCAGAGGUGAAAGGCUACGGCUCAACCGUAGUAAGCCUUUGAAACUGGGGAACUUGAGUGCAGGAGAGGAGAGUGGAAUUACUAGUGUAGCGGUGAAAUGCAUAGAUAUUACGAAGAACACCAGUUGCGAAGGCAGCUCUCUGGACUGUAACUGACACUGAGGCACGAAAGCGUGGGGAGCAAACAGGAUUAGAUACCCUAGUAGUC
rnacentral:rRNA from 1 species